AGGAAAAACUGACCAAAAGGGGAUCCUUAUGGAAUAUGCAAAUGACCGUAUUUUUACUGCUUGGAAAAGGAAGGUGAUUAUGCUAUGCUGUCCAGGAGUUGUGAGUAUAACAGAGGAUUGAGAGCACCUAGAAUCUGUAGAUGCCAGUGCACAAAAACAGGAUUUAGGAUUCACCAAAACUGCAGCAAGUCUGCCCUCUGCUGGGCACAAGUAGCAUGAGCUUACUCCACAGGAAACAGAUGUAGCCAAUAUCUAUGAUCUACACAAUCACAAAAACAAGGCAGCAGUGGGGAGGAGGAAUAUUUCCUGUCUGGAUAUACUAUGUAAAUAAAUAAAGUAGGCUACUUAAUCAUCUGAUUAAA